rnacentral:misc_RNA from 1 species
AGCAAUAACAACAAUGAGAACAGUGCAAAUAAUGCAGUUGACAAAAGGUUCAAGACUCUGCCUGCAACAGAGACGCUUCCACGGAAUGAGGUCCUAGGAGGAUACAUCUUUGUCUGUAACAAUGACACUAUGCAGGAAGACUUAAAGCGCCAGCUAUUUGGUUUACCACCAAGAUAUAGAGAUUCUGUUCGGGCAAUAACCCCUGGCUUACCACUCUUUCUUUACAACUACACUACUCACCAGUUGCAUGGUAUAUUUGAGGUAUGAUCUCAAACUUAUUUAUUUAAUUGUUUGUGUAUAAACUUGAUUCAAGAGCUUCUGCAUCUGUUGUGUGUUAUCUGUCUGCCCGCUUUCUUUGAUUGAUAACCUUACUGUUGUUGUUCUAAGCUCAGUCAUCUGGAUUUGUUGUGUGAAAAUAAUGCUUAGAAAUGAUAUCAUGUGCUGAUCAUUUGAAAAUUCCCUUUUUCCAAGAAGUCUAAUAUGAUAUUUGGCAUGUCUAUAUCUGCUGAUUUUUUUGGUCUGUUGAAAUCCUUUGCUUUUCAAAACCUUCUUGUACAGGCUGCAAGUUUUGGGGGUUCUAACAUUGACCCUAGUGCUUGGGAAGACAAAAAAUGUAAAGGCGAGUCAAGGUUUCCUGCUCAGGUGAGGAUCCGUAUUAGAAAACUCUGCAAGGCAUUGGAAGAGGAUGCUUUUAGGCCAGUGUUGCACCAUUACGAUGGCCCAAAGUUUCGUCUUGAACUCUCAGUGUCUGAGGCACCCCAUAUACAUUGCUGGAGUAAUGAUUACAUAAAAAAAAAAAAAUGGAAGUUCCAUUACGGAGGCAUUGCAUGUCCUUAUGAAGGGAUGAAUGUGAGAAACAGGCCAGCAAUUGGUUAUAGCAGAAUUAUGUGAGACUGCCAUGGUUAGGAGAUAGUGGUUACGGUCCCUUUGUUCAUCACUUGGUUUACAUUUUUGGGUGGGCAAAAUUUAACAACCAAGCUUAGUUGAAGGUGGAGGGUGGCAUGGGCUUUUAUUUUUUGCAGUAGAUAGCCAAAAAUUUUAGUGAAUAAUUUUAGUGAAUAUGUUUCUUUUUAUUGUUUGAUCAAUUUUAGUCGAUAAAAUUCUGUCUUUAGCUUUCUAUUCUUGGCUUCCAUUUUUCCACAAAAUUAACAGGUAAUAACAACGCUGUCUUCUUGCAGUAUAAAAUUCUCAAGCAUAUCCUAAAUUGAAAAAUGAUGAAAUAUUUUGUAUGAUACUGAAGAGCUAUUUAUUGAGUAUAAGAACAUUCUCUAUAGGAAAAGGUGCAACAGAAACCCAUUACAUGCUACAAAAACUUAUAGAUCUCUAAUAAACUGAAUAAAUUUAACUGAUUUGUUACAUAAUUCUUCAUUACAAAAAAGCAACCAACCGAUAAAUUCAGCAACUUGGUCGAAGAUGCUUGGAGAAAGUGAUGACACUUCUCAACUCAUUUCAUUGGAGGAUGUUUAGAGUAAGCCUUCACAUGUUAGAAAAUUUCUUGGUAAUAACUCUGAACCAUGGUAAAUCCUUGUGUCUCUCACACAACAAGAAAGCCCUAUGUCCACAAUGAAUGGAGAAUUUCAGAAAGAGUUUCAUUUCUUAUGAUAUUAGCAGCAAGUAUAAUUGACAAGGUAAAUAGCUCAAUCUCCUUAGUCUUACAGAAAUUGAAGUUGCUAUGCUUGUAAGUUGCAAUAUUUGUAUAUUUUUAUAUGUAUAAUUGAUGAGGCAAAUAGUUUUAUCAUUAUUAAUUAAUUUUUUUCUUAGUUAAAUAUUUUUACUUAAAUCUACACAACAAUCACAAAACUACAUACGAAGCCCUCACAACAGUGAGACUUUUCAUUUUUUAUUAAAUUCAAUUCAAAAUUACAGAGUAAUUGCACAACCAUACAAAAACACCAUCACAACAAACAUGAAGCUAAACUCAUACUCAGACAUGUAGACGUGCAUACCCCAUCCUGCAUAUAUUUGUUUUGGACAAAACUCUAUAAACCAUGACCUUUCACAAAUCUAGCAACAUUUACAUAAUACCACACCAUAAAUUUGUCCCACAAAUUAUCUAGAAAAUUGAAAUAUAAAUGCCUCCAUCUUCUAUUAAACACUAAAGGACCCAUCACUGCCCAAAAUCCCACCACAAAUCCUGGUGCAAUGCUCACAUAGAAAUAGAACCAAGCAAAUGAUUCAGACCUUUUGUCAUCUCCUCCUCUUUUUGUCCCAAUAGGAAGCAUGGCGCCAUCAAUACUACAGUUCUUGAGAGGAAGUCCACAAAGCUCUUCAUUGCCCAUGAAGCUCGAUGAACUCAAGCUUCGUAACUGAGUGCUGGAAGGGAUUAUCCCGCUCAAGUUGUUGAAGGAUAAGUUUAAAUUGCUCAAAAAUGUCAACUUUGCCAGGCUCUGAGGGAUUUCGCCAAAUAGCUGAUUUUGAGACAAAUCCAUAGCUUCUAUUGAUCCCAUAGCACCUUGGAAUGCCGACCUUGCCCAAUAUUCAACAUAAUCCCGACCAGUGGCAGUGGCAUUGAAGGUAUAAUACUCAUCCAAAGAAAGAAUUGAAAGAUGGAGCUCAAGGACAUGGUCGGUGACGUUAUCAUAGAUGACUCCAGACCAUCUACAACAAAUUGCAUCACCAGUACGCCAAGAUGCAAGUCGAUUUGAGGGGUCUAUAAGGUCAUGCUUCAACUUCAAAAGAGCUUCUCUCUCGCUUUGAAUGGAGCUAUCAUUGAAGCUUCCGUAGCUGAGAUCAAAGCUAAAAAUAGUUGCUGUGAAGAGAAGCCAUGGUAAAGCAAGAGUAGUAGCAGUAACACUCAUUGAUCUUUGAAUGACCAAUCAGUGCUAGAGCUAAACUAUAUGGAGUAACACAACAAAGACUCACAAUGAAGUGCUAUUUAUAGUGUCUUUGUAGUUCAUGGAGCUUGCCUCUGAAUGUCGACCUCUCCCAACACUUCCUCUGACUCUCUGCAAUGCAUAGGAAACAUCCCUGAUCGGGUGAUUGCCACUA